rnacentral:rRNA from 1 species
GACGUAGGACGCGAGCGUUGUCCGGAUUUAUUGGGCGUAAAGAGCUCGUAGGCGGUUUGUCGCGUCGACUGUGAAAUCCCGCGGCUCAACUGCGGGUCUGCAGUCGAUACGGGCAGGCUAGAGUUCGGUAGGGGAGACUGGAAUUCCUGGUGUAGCGGUGAAAUGCGUAGAUAUCGAGAGGAACACCUGAGGUGAAGACGGGUUGCUGGGCCGACACUGACGCUGAGUGCGCGAAAGCCAGGGGAGCAAACGGG